GUCCUUUCAGAAAGUACCUUUCAAAACUCCUCGGAAUGAACGAACGUGAGGAUUCACCUUCAAUCGGUACCGUGCGGUCGCGUCAGUCUCGCAUCACCGCCAAUGCGUCAACGACGAGGAAGGAAGAUCACCUUCAAUCAGUAUCGCACGUUCGCGGAAACCUUGAAUCGACUUUCGAUUAGAACUGCACCGCCGAUGAAGAACGAGAGGCAAUGUGAUCAGAAACGCGCCUUAGAUGAAGAACAAGAGGCAAUAUGAUUGAAAAUGCACCGUAGAUGAAGAACGAGAGGCAACUGUAAUCGAAUUCGCGUUUUCUGUGUUACGCGGAGGUGGAGUCAGAUAGGUGUGCGUCGAGUGGAUUCCCCAACUGUUUCGACGAAAACUUGGCGUUGCCGUUGUUCGGUUUCGUGAUGAAUCGAGUUGUAGAUUCUUUUCUGUUGUGAGCUGCUGAAUUGCAAUCUUAUGCAGGUUUGGCGUGUGAUGAUGAGACAAGAUGAGGGAGAUGGAAGCGUGAAGGUUGAGAAAACGGUUAUGGAGGUUGUGUGAGGAACGGUUAUGGAGAAAGCGAUGACGGAUGAAGAAGAAGAAUUCUGAAAAGAAAAAAUGGCGAGCUCCAAUUUCAAUGAAUCAUAAUCUGCGUUUCUUGAUUUACAGUUGCGUUUCAAUUGCUGUUGGCACGUGCAUUUUGGCUGUUGCCGUUUGUAGUGUUGCUUGCGUGCGUUCAAGUUAUUUGGCUUUGCAGCUUAGCGUGUUACCUUGAACGUUAUGUCGUUUUGCUGUCGGCUUGUGCUUUACCGCAUUUUUACUGUUGGCUGCGGUGUUUGGAUGGAAGCUUGGAGUGUUGUACGUUUCACUUGCAUCUGGUUUGUAGUUGCCACUGCAACAUGUGGCUUUAACUUUGGCUUUGAGUUGCGUUUCCUUGCUAUGAAUUUGAAUGUUGCGUUUCGCUACAGCUCAUGUGGGAUUGUUGCCGUUUUUGGGUUUUACUUUGGUGCAGCUCGUUUGGCUUAGCGUUUGGUAUGGCUGGUAGCUGUCGUUGGAUUUUUGGUAUAUAGCAGCUUCUUUGCGUUUUGUGCUUUCAGCUGUAGCAACUUGCCAUUGUUGUAGUUCGCUGCUACUUUUCUGUCUAAUUUGAAUAGUGGACUAAAUGGUUUUGGAUUUUGGUGGAUAUGUGUGGAUUUGAAUUUUUUUAUGGACAAUUGAUUUAUGGAUGAA